CUGCAGCGCGAGCCUGCAAAGGACUGUUCGGUGCUUUUUGCAGCCUUUUCAGGUCACGUUCAAGAACUUUGUAAUUUUUCUGCUGCAUCCCUCCUCAAAAACUCUGAGGCCCCUUAACCCUGCAGAUAAUUUUAGCUCUCUGCUCUGGCAGAGGCCCUGGCAGAGGAAGGUUUCUGCCAUCUGGUAGCCUGUCAUACCUGAAGGGCCCUUUGCCUGUGUUUGGAACGAGGAGUUAUUUUUGAUGCUGGCUCUGACGUUAGCCAUGGGUACUCCUGGAAUAUUUCCAAGUCUUGUAAUUGCCAUUGUAUCCUUGUUUUUUCCUCUUUUUUUUAAAAAAAGUUUCCCUGCUUACGUUCUUCUGUGCUUUUCACCAGGAUAGAAAUAGAGAACCCGUUUUCUUGUUUUGGACUACCCAACACAAGACUCCUGUUUCCUGCCUUCUGGUCCCUGGCCACCCUUGGGGCACUGUCGCCCCCACGCAGCAAGCAGACAGAACUCAUCAGGUGCUGUCCUGAGCACACAGAGUCACCAGUGUCCUUACAGCAGCACAGGAGAGCGCUGCAUCAGUUGUACUAUAAAGAGCACACAGGAGCUGGAACACAAUCUCCUCCUCCUUCCCUGCACUGUUUCACCGACAGCCUCGCUCACAGCUGGAGGAAGACAGCCUCGCCAGCAGCCUGAGCAGAAGCUGGAAGAAGGGAAGUCUUGUGCUCUUUGCUCUGCAGGAAAACCAUCUUUGUAUAAACUGCUCACAGUAACACCCUGUGUUCACAUUGCCUCCAGAAGAGUAUGACGUUUGACCACUUCUUCUUUCAAGUUUGCUUUAAUCAAGAAGUUGCUAAGAACAGAACACUGGCAAGGAUGAGGGGGUUGCAAUGAUCACAUACUGAACUGGAGUCAACAAUAUGCUUCUGGGUAAAACCAACACAAAGGAAACAUAUCGCAUUGGGAAGUCUCAGCAGGCUGUUAUUAACAUCCUGCAGCGAGUCAUCACUUCAGCCUAAACUUUUUGUGGAUGAAAUAAGUGGUAUAUGAAACUGGAUGAAAUUAAGUUCUACAUCUAUUCAUUAAAGACCCUGAUGAAUGAUACAUGUUGAGAGGUAGAAGAUGAUGAAUUCCACAGACAAUGCAACUGAGCAGUGUAUUAUUGACCAUAAUAUCCACCAGACAUUAUCCCCCGUGGUAUACAUAUUUGUAUUUAUAAUAGGCUUGCCAGCUAACUGCCUGUCACUGUACUACGGGUACUUACAGAUCAAGGCUAAAAAUGAAUUGGGUAUCUACCUUUGCAAUUUGACUGUAGCAGACCUCUUUUACAUAUUUUCUUUGCCUUUCUGGAUCCAGUAUGUUUUACAGCAUGACAACUGGACCUAUGAUGAACUGCUGUGCAAAAUCUGUGGCAUCCUCUUGUAUGAGAAUAUCUAUAUCAGUGUGGGCUUCCUCUGCUGCAUCUCCAUCGACCGCUAUCUAGCAGUAGUGCACCCUUUUCAGUUUCAUCAGUUUCGGACAAUGAAGGCUGCUAUGAUUGUGAGCGCUGUUAUCUGGACCAAGGAAAUAAUGACCUGCUGGUUUGUCUUUACACACGGGGAGAUCAGUAUGGAUGCCGAGAGCCAUGUGGUAUGCUUUGAGCAUUACCCCAUCAAAGACUGGGAGCACAACAUCAAUUACUAUCGCUUCUCUGCUGGCUUCCUUUUCCCCUUCUUUCUGCUGGCCUUCUCUUACUGUGGGAUUUUAAGAGUUGUCCAUAAGAGUCACGGCACUCAGAAGAAGAAGAAAAUCCAAAUUAAACGUCUGGUUUCAAGCACUGUCUUCAUUUUUUUAGUGUGCUUUGCACCGUACCAUAUCCUACUUGUAAUUCGCAGCGUAUUUGAGAACAACUGCUCAUUUGCUGACAAAAUAUUUAACAUUUACCAUGCUUCUCUCCUGUUGACUACUUUUAACUGUGUUGCUGACCCAGUAUUGUACUGUUUUUCCAGUGAAAGCACUUACCAUAACUUUGCCAAGAUGCGAGACUCUUGUUUAACAUGUUUAGGAUGUCUAAAGACUGAGAUGAAAGAAUCCUAUCAGCUGAGUGCUCCAGAAACUCCGAACUGGCCACAACAUGAGCAACAGCCAGGGUUAUUACAAAAAUCAUGUGAUGCUACUGAAAUAAUGGAAGACUCUUCAAUUAACAUGGGCUAUUUAUAGCAUUCAUCAAAAAGGACACUUGUGUAAAAUCUCCAUGUAUGACUGUAUGUAUCCAUCUGAUUUAUCUGUGUAUUAAACUGUUUUACCUCCCAAAGGCUUAUUAGCAAUGCAAUACAGUGAGGUGCCCUUAGCUACAAUCAUGUAUAUUGUCAUUACGGUACCACUCAAAACCAGUCAACUGGCAUUGACUGAAAUAAGCUAGUAUUCAUGGUGUAGUUCUUUAACUGCUGUCUCUUUGCAGCAUCUGGAGAAAAAAAAAUCUCAACGAUGUGUUGAAAAGGUUGGAGACAGAACAAAUUAAAUGUGCUACCAUAACUACUUUUGAAAGGAAAAAAUUGAUGCAUUUCUGCAACGUAUUAUGUACUUCUCUGAAAUAACUCCUUCUCCAGCUAGUUUAAAGGUGUGCAGAGACCUUGCAAGAGCCAACUUGCUAAAACAACUGAUCAAAUAAUGUGAGAUGUUCUGGGACAACAGGCACAAGAAAUUCAGCAUCUGCUGAGACCUUCAGUGUGUGGAUUGACUGUUGAAACUCGUCGUAAGGCUUCUAUUGACUUCCAGAGGUCACUAAGCAUGUAGCCCACAGAGAAAGAAAUCACCUAACUCUUUAACUGAACAGGUAAAGCAUCAGUGUCUGAGAGGUGCAGUGCAAAACAGAGGCUGUCCUUCCUGCUGUGAGAACUGACAACUAGCACAUCUUCAGCCCAGACACUCAUCUUGAGUUGACGUAGUAGCACAGCUUUCAAAGACCUGUCUUCCCCACCACAAAGUAUUUUUAAAUCCAAGUUGCUACAAGAGUUACUUCCUGUCGCAGUUACGAGGGAGACUCUGACCUCAUCCUCAUUCAUUUUGGAUAGCAGUUCGUGAACACUGUUUUUCUUCUCUACACUCCCUCAAACAGCACGUUGGUGUCAAUGUUGAGUGCCUAUAUUGCGCAAAUGUGAAUCAGAGGAACCUCCACCUGAAGUAUCUCAAAAAACUACCUGUUGUUUCCCUAGCAGAGCAACAAGCUGCAGAUGCAUUUUCAAAGAAAAAGUACAGAGGAGGAAGAGGGUAUGUCAGGGGAAAAGGUUAACAAGAGAACCUAACUGGGCUGGAACCUAACAAACCUGAAGUUGCUCUUUCCCGGAAUGCUUUGAAGUAAUGUGUAAUUUCCUUUGUUUAGAACUGUAAACUCAAUUUUGUGUUUAUAACUGUUAUUUCCUUGCUUAACAGUGGUGUAAGCAGAUAUAAAGCAUGUUCCAAAUUGAGCUGUUAUAGUGCACAGAGGGAUCAAAAUCCUCGAUUGUGACCUAUGGGUCAGUUAGCAUUGUGAGAUGAAAAGAUGGGAUAAAAUCAGCUCUGAAAAAACACUACUUCUAUCAACAGUGAAAUUGGAAGAGUCUGGUUUCAAAUGGACUUACAUGUAGCUGUUUUGUCCCCUCCCAAAAGUUUUUUCUGAAAAGCCACAGCCUCAGUAGCACCAUUAAAGAAGAGACAGACCCCUCUCUCUUCUCUCCGGUAAUCAUUUUUGUGAAAUUUCCCAGAAUCUCAGAAUUUAGAAACCUCUUCCCUUUUGUGAAAUUUUGAACCUCCUGCUGAAUUUCAAUGAAGCUUACACAUUCCAUUUACCGUGGUAGCUAUAAUAAAAAGUCCUUCAGUGCAUAAAUUGUCUGUUCUUUCAGGAAUCGUUGAGAAUUCUGGAGACAUUCAAAAUGUCAUUAUUCUAUAUACUCUGCUCUUCAUUUGACAUGAAAUGUACACAUUAAAACUCUUCAUAUAAGGUCUUAGCAUUUUCUGUAAAGAUAAUUUGAUCCUCGAAUUUUGUUAAUAAAAAUCUAAGAAGAAUAAAAAGCCUAGUCACGUCUUCGCUUUCCUCCACCCCUCCCCUCACGUAACUUACAUAAUACCUUGAUGUAGUCAUAUACAUAUCUUUUUUUCUUCCUUUCUCAAGAACGUCUUUUCUUUCUAUGAAUGCCUUCUUUCUAAGAAUGCCUCUUCUGGUCUUUUGGUCUGUUUUACUUUACAGUUGUGUGAGACCCUGCUUUGAGGAAAUCGCUACUACCAUAAGAAGCCCUACCAGUGUCCUUGACAGACAGCUCUAUAGGUUCAAAUACUUCUUAUUUGAUAUUCCCUGCAAAAACAUUAGCAAAGUCCUUUAUAUCCUGGACACAGAUGAAUGAACAAAACAUUGCAAUGUUAAAAUGUCUAACGUUUUCUUAUUAAAUAAUUUGUUUUGUUUUAUUUAUUUAUUUUAUUUCUAGGAAAACUUCUAAACCACCUAGAAUAUAGUAGCUUUAGAUCUGAAUUUAUACAUAAUAUGGUUGUAUUUUACAUACUAUCAUAUAUGGCUGAAAUAUAAACAUUUCUGACAGAAUCAAAGCAUACCUUACAUGGUUGUUUAGCAGAGAAUUCAGUAUAACUUGGUAAACUGCUUUUUGAAUGCACUCCAUAUAAACAUUUAUCUUAUAUUUCCUGGUAAUGCAUCCUACAUCUUAGCUGUAACAAAGUGAAAUGAGCCACUCUUUUUCUAUUAAAGAAAAAAUAGCUAUAGUUACAUGGUGUCAGUCUUGACAUCAUGUAACAAUACAGCGAUGAUACAGCUAUUUAAGGAAAUUACCUGAAGACACUCUUAGCAUAAAAAGCACUACAUUGUCAUUUAUCAGCAGCUUAUAUCAUGCAUGAUGAUACAUACGAAUAUAUGAAUGCAAAUAGAAACAUCUGAUCUUUCUGCAAAGAGAGAUUUUGUCUUGGCACUGAGUAUCUAUAUGCAAAGUGGCAAAUUAUAUCUCCCGUGUCAUAAAAGAGACACCUGAAUUGGAUAAGCAAAAUUUCAUUUCUUACUUUGAAUUGUUUUUCCUAUAUAUUUACAGGCUAGAGCUCUUUGGUCUGCUUACAUAGGGAAAACAGGCUUAAUAUUAUAUAACUAUGCCUGAUAAACUGUAUUCUCUCAUCAAACGUUACUGCUUGCACUUGUGAGAAACAUACACAAUUUACACUAUGCUCAAAAUCAAACCAGCAUCGGAUUAACUGACACAAUCUUGAUUCAACUCCACACCUGAGAAGUAGGUAAAGACUGUUUAGGUCAAAUUAUUUCUUAUUGAUCAAUAUGUCAGCAAUGACCAAAUGCUUCUCAGUAUCUCUUAUUAAAAUAUAUAUAAAGAAUAAGUCAUGCAUUGAGGAAAAUCUUAGUACUUUGUUGAGCAGGAAUGGAGAGUGCCACAGUUCUGGGUUUUGUUACAUUGCAACCCUGAUAUUGCUUUAAUGUGAGGCUGGAGAAAACCUUUGUACUUCGGGGGAAGUCUUCUUAAUUUAGUAAUUAUGAUCUAUGGGUUUCAUGGAAAGAAUGCCAUUUCUGGAAUAAAAAUAAAAUGUGAUAAGAAAGCUGUUUGGUACUUAGGCAGUUACUCAAAUGUCUUCUUUCCAAUUACAAAUACACAAAUAUUAACACGGAGGUGGGUAUGGUGGUGCUUCUUAUCUUACUAGUGUAAUUAUUACAGCAUUAAAAGAAGCUGUACUAGGCGGAAAGUAGUCAUGUAAACCAUAAAUGGUCUGAUUUUUUUUUUUAUUCUAAUGGAGUAUGUGAACACUAAUGUAUUCAAGCUCAGGAAAUCUUCUGCGCUGUUUACUGUUCUAUGAUUUAUAAUUAAAGAUAUAAUCUCCUCUUGUCAGAAGAUUUGUCAUUUUCUUUCUUCCCACAAAACCAUUUCCACUAAUUUUAUCUCAAUAGAUUUUAGUGUUGAACUUUCAACAGCUCAUUAUUGGAUCAUUAUCAAUAUUGCCAGCUGUAUAACUUAGUAAAAUAAAAGCAAGAAGAAUUUCCUGUAUACAGUAUCACAUUUAAUUGCAGUAUCUCGUUACCAGGAAUUUUGAUCAUAGUAGUUUUUUGGAUAUGUAAAUUCAAAGGGAAAACAAGUAGAUGGAAGUCGAAAAAAUAAAAAGUGAAAAAUAAUUAAUGUUGGAGCUGUCUUACAUGUCAAACAGAAGUCAAAGGGUAAGUAUAUAUGACUAAACUAAAG